rnacentral:rRNA from 1 species
UAAAAUUAAAUUAUUUAUUUUUUAAAUUGUAAUUAAUUUGUUAAUUAAAAUAAUAUUAAUUUUUUUUGUUUUAGUAUUUUAUAAAGAAAAAAUUUUUUUAAUUAUAGUAUAUUAGUAUUGAGAAAGAAUUUUGAAAUAUUUUGAAAAUUAAUUAUUUUAAAAGAAAAAUUUAUUUUUUGUACCUUGUGUAUCAGGGUUGAUUAAAUAUUUUAUAUUUAUUUAUAAUUCUCGAAUUUAAGAGAUUUAAUAAUUUAUUAUAGUUAUUGUGGCAUAAAUAUUAUAAAUAAAUUAUUUGAAAUGAAACGUUAAUCGUUCUUGAAUAUAUCUAGUUUUUUAAGAAAUAAAUUUAAUUUAUAUAAUAUUAUAAUUAUUUAUUAUUUUAUUAAUAAAUAAUAUUUUUAUUAUAAGUAUUUUAAGGGAUAAGCUUUAAAAUAAAAAGUUAUAAUUAAUUUUAUAAAAAGAUAAUAUAGGCUUAGAAAUAGUUAAUAUUAAAAAAUAUGUUAUAAUUUAUUUUUAAAAGUAUAAUAUUUUAUUUUAUUUAAAUUUUUAUUAAAAUGUUUAUUUUAAUUUUUAAAAUAAAGUAAUAAUGAUUAAAUUAGUAAAUAUUUAUUUAAUAAUAAAAAGAUAUUGAAAGGUUUUAUUAAAGAAUUCGGCAAAUAUAAUUUUCACCUGUUUAUCAAAAACAUGGCUUUUUGUAUUUAAUAUAAAGUCUAACCUGCCCACUGAUAUAAUAUUAAAUGGCCGCGGUAUUUUGACCGUGCAAAGGUAGCAUAAUCAUUAGUCUUUUAAUUGAAGGCUUGUAUGAAUGGUUGAAUGAGAAAUUAGCUGUUUCAAUAAAAUUUUUAAUUGAAUUUAAUAUUUUAGUAAAAAAGCUAAAAUAUAAUUUAAAGACGAGAAGACCCUAUAGAGUUUUAUAAUUUUAGUAUUAAAUUUAUAAAGAUUAUUUAAAGUUUAAUAUAAAAAAUUAUUUUAUUGGGGUGAUAAUAAUAUUUAAAAAACUAUUAUAUUUAUUUUACAAUGAUUUUUGUUUAUUUGAUCCAAUAUUAUUGAUUAAUAAUUUAAAUUACCUUAGGGAUAACAGCGUAAUAUUUUUAGAGAGUUCUAAUCGAUAAAAAUGAUUGCGACCUCGAUGUUGGACUAAGAGUUAUUUUUAGGUGUAGAAGUUUAAAGUUGAGGUCUGUUCGACCUAUAAAUUCUUACAUGAUCUGAGUUCAAACCGGUGUGAGCCAGGUUGGUUUCUAUCUUUAAUAAAUUAAUAUAUUUUAGUACGAAAGGACCAAAUAUAUAAAAUAUAAAUUUUUAAUAAUUGAAUAAUAUUAAAUUU